rnacentral:rRNA from 1 species
UGGCGAACGGGUGAGUAAUACAUAGGAACGUACCUAUAGGUGGGGAAUAACCACGGGAAACUGUGGCUAAUACCGCAUGGUAUCGCAAGAUUAAAGGGGGCCUCUUCUUGAAAGCUCUCGCCUAUAAAUCGGCCUAUGUCCCAUUAGCUAGUUGGUAGGGUAAUGGCCUACCAAGGCGACGAUGGGUAGCUGGUCUGAGAGGAUGAUCAGCCACACUGGGACUGAGACACGGCCCAGACUCCUACGGGAGGCAGCAGUGGGGAAUAUUGCGCAAUGGGCGAAAGCCUGACGCAGCAACGCCGCGUGAGUGAAGAAGGCCCUUGGGUCGUAAAGCUCUUUCGGCAGGAAAGAAGGGGAGUGUAGCUAAUAUCUGCAUUUUCUGACGGUACCUGAAUAAGAAGCACUGGCUAACUACGUGCCAGCAGCCGCGGUAAUACGUAGGGUGCAAGCGUUGUCCGGAAUUAUUGGGCGUAAAGAGCUCGUAGGCGGUUUGUCGCGUCUGCUGUGAAAUCCCGAGGCUCAACCUCGGGCCUGCAGUGGGUACGGGCAAACUAGAGUGUGGUAGGGGAGAUUGGAACUCCUGGUGUAGCGGUGGAAUGCGCAGAUAUCAGGAAGAACACCGAUGGCGAAGGCAGAUCUCUGGGCCAUUACUGACGCUGAGGAGCGAAAGCGUGGGGAGCGAACAGGAUUAGAUACCCUGGUAGUCCACGCCGUAAACGAUGUCGACUUGGAGGUUGUGCCCUUGAGGCGUGGCUUCCGGAGCUAACGCGUUAAGUCGACCGCCUGGGGAGUACGGCCGCAACGUUGACACUCAAAGGAAUUGACGGGGACCCGCACAA